AUGACCAUCAAACUCCAACAUCUACUUACCUUUAUAAUCUCGCUAUUCCUAUUCUUGUCACUCUUUCAUAUCUUUUUUGGCUUCAAAUCUAGUAUCAGUGGAAACACAUUCACAAGCAACAUCAAGUUUCCGGUUUCGAAAAAUAGGAAAAUUUUAGCAACCGGAUUUGAUUUCACACAAUUUAUCAACCGGCAGCACCACCACCACCAUCAUCAUCGUCAUCAGAAUCACCACCACCGGACUCACACCGAGAUCGAUCCACGAUAUGGUGUUGAUAAACGCUUAGUUCCAACUGGUCCAAAUCCAUUGCACCAUUAA